AGAGAGAGAGAGAGAGAGAGAGAGAGAGAGAGAGAGAGAGAGAGAGAGAGAGAGAGAGAGAGAGAGAGAGAGAGAGAGAGUGUGUGAACGCCUCCUAGUGAAAUACAAACACCAUAAGUUCCUUCAUAUUCUGUAAAAUAAUGAUAAUAAUUGGAAAAUACAGGAUGGUGAGCGUGGAUGGUGAGCGCGGAUGGUGAGCGUGAUGGUGAGCGUGGAUGGUGAAGAUGACAGUGAAGAGAAGUUGUAAAUAACGAAGAUGUGGUGAAGGUAUGGUGACUACAAGUGCGUCUUAAUGGUGAAGGUGAUGGUGAUGCUGGUGAUAGUGACAAGAAUAGUGAUGAUGAUGACGAUGAUGAUAGUGAGUCCGGGAGUGAACGCUGGUAAUGGCGAUAUGGUGAAGCUACGGUGGAAGAAGAAGGAAAGGUACAAAAGAGAGAAGAUGGUGAUGGUGAUGAAUAGUGGUGAGAGAGACAAGAAUGGUGACUCAAGGAAUAUGAUAGUGAUGGUGAUGGUGAGUGACGAUGAAAUGAACUAACGAGGGAGAGUCUGUAGUUGAUGUACUGAAGAAGAAAUAUUGAUGAUGAAGGUGAUGGUGAUGGUGAUGGUGAUGGUGAUGGUGAGGGUGAGGGUGUGUUUGGUGAACCUGGUAUAGUGUAGAUGGUGGUGAUGGUGAUAACAAUAGUGCAGUGAAUCACAAGUGUGCGGGCCUACUAUUUUCACUAUCAGAGAGGAGGAGACAGACAGACAGACAAACACACUGAGAUAAAACAUGAAAAAAAAUAAAUAACACAUACACUGAUAGAAAAAAAAAA